UCUGGUUGAUCCUGCCAGUAGUCAUAUGCUUGUCUUAAAGAUUAAUCCAUGCAUGUGUAAGUAUAAGUAUUGUACAGCGAAACUGCGAAUGGCUCAUUACAUCAGUUAUAAUUUAUUUGAUAAUCGAAAGUUACAUGGAUAACCGUGACAAAUUACAGCUAAUACAUGCAGUUAGACCUGGCUCAAGGGUCGUAAUUAUUAGUACUAAACCAUUUCCGCAAGGAAUGUGAUGAUUCAUAGUAAUCGAACGAAUCGCAGGUAUAUGCGAUAAAUCAUUCAAGUUUCUGCCCUAUCAGCUUUGGAUGGUAGUGUAUUGGACUACCAUGGCAGUCACGGGUAACGGAGAAUUAGGGUUCGAUUCCGGAGAGGGAGCCUGAGAAACGGCUACCACAUCUACGGAAGGCAGCAGGCGCGAAAAUUGCCCAAUCCUGAUUCAGGGAGGCAGUGACAAGAAAUAACAACUCUCAACAUUGUUGAGAAGUGUAAUGAGGAUAAUUUACAAACCUUACCGAAAGCAAUUGGAGGGCAAGUCUGGUGCCAGCAGCCGCGGUAAUUCCAGCUCCAAUAGCGUAUAUUAAAGUUGUUGCAGUUAAAAAGCUCGUAGUUGAAGUUCUGGCUGAUCGAUCCUCGAGCUCUGUAGCCGAGGACUCGUCAGUCAUCCGCUUGCAAAUAUAUGUUCGCCUUUAACCGGGUGGCUAUAUGAGUAAGCAAUUUACCUUGAGAAAAACAGAGUGUUCCAGGCAGGUUUGUCCGGAAUGCAUUAGCAUGGAAUAAUAGAAUAUGACUGAAGUCUAUUUAUUGGUUUCAGGCUUUAGUAAUGAUUAAUAGGAACAGUCGGGGGCAUUCGUACUCAGCAGUCAGAGGUGAAAUUCUAAGAUUUGCUGAAGACGAACUAAUGCGAAAGCAUUUGCCAAGGAUGUUUUCAUUAAUCAAGAACGAAAGUUAGGGGAUCAAAGACGAUCAGAUACCGUCCUAGUCUUAACUAUAAACUAUACCGACUCGGAUUCAGAUGAAUCAUAAAGUUCAUUUGGGACCGUAGGAGAAAUCAAAGUCUUUGGGUUCUGGGGGGAGUAUGGUCGCAAGGCUGAAACUUAAAGGAAUUGACGGUUUUGCACCACCAUGGAGUGGAGUCUGCGGCUUAAUUUGACUCAACACUGGGAAACUCAUCAGGGCAAGAAGAUUUUAGGAUUGACAGAUUGAGAGUUCUUUCUUGAUUGGUCUAGUGGUGGUGCAUGGCCGUUCUUAGUUGGUGGAGUGAUUUGUCUGGUUAAUUCCGUUAACGAACGAGACCUUAACCUGCUAACUAGUACACUGAUUUCCAAUCGGUGUUACUUCUUAGAGGGACUAUGUGAUGUAAUCACAUGGAAGUUUGAGGCAAUAACAGGUCUGUGAUGCCCUUAGAUGUCCUGAGCUGCACGCGUACUACAAUGGUGCUUUCAACGAGCUUUUCCUGAUCCGAAAGGAUUUGGGUAAUCUUUUUAGUGAGCACCGUGCUUGGGAUUGAUCUUUGUAAUUAUGGAUCAUGAACUAGGAAUUCCUAGUAAGCACGGGUCAUCAGCCCGUGCUGAUUACGUCCCUGCAAAAUGUACACACCGCCCGUCGCUAUUACCGAUUGAGUGUAAAGGUGAACCUUCUCGAUAGUGUCACCGCUAAAAAUUAAGUAAACCUUUGCACUUAGAGGAAAUAAAAGUCGUAACAAGGUUUCCGUAGGUGAACCUGCGGAAG
rnacentral:rRNA from 1 species